AAUCCAUGACGCGGGCACCGCUUAAGAAGGUCCUUGAAUCGUUCAUGUACCUCAAACAGUUAUUCUGUUUCUUCUUAUUUAAAUGCCGAGAUCUCCUACCUGAUCUU